GGCUCAGAACGAACGCUGGCGGCGCGUCUUAAGCAUGCAAGUCGAACGGCAAGAGGUAGCAAUACCUCCUAGAGUGGCGGACUGGUGAGUAACACGUGGGUGACAUACCCUUCAGAUGGGGAUAGCUAUAGAAAUAGUAGAUAAUACCGAAUACGAGCACAGGGGUUAGAGAUCUGUGAGGAAAGGAGCUAAGGCUCCGCUGAAGGAAUGGCCUGCGGCCCAUUAGCUAGUUGGUGAGGUAAGAGCCCACCAAGGCGAUGAUGGGUAUCCGGCCUUAGAGGGUGAACGGACACAUUGGGACUGAGAUACGGCCCAGACUCCUACGGGAGGCAGCAGCUAAGAAUAUUCCGCAAUGGACGAAAGUCUGACGGAGCGACGCCGCGUGGAUGAAAGAAGGCCGGAAGGUUGUAAAAUCCUUUUGAAACUGAAGAAUAAGCGUUGUAGGGAAUGACAGCGUGGUGACAGUAGGUUUUGAAUAAGCAACGGCUAAUUACGUGCCAGCAGCAGC
rnacentral:rRNA from 1 species